AAUGUUACCUGGCAGGGGGAAUACCACGAUCAAGAAGGUGUUUUCCCCAGGGUGAGGCACUUCCAUUGCACACUUCAGUUGGUAUGAUUCCUGUGAUUUCCCCAAAUGUGGGAAACUCAACUGCAUAAUUUUUUUUAAAUGGUUCUGCUGGACAGUGGUGCAGGGAACUAA